UGCAUUUUAAUUUCCAUGCAAAAUUAAAACUAACUGAUACUUCCUGCCUGCCUGCCUGCUAGAGAUAUUUCGUUUAUGUCUCAAUAUACAUUUACAACCGUUCCCGAUCGCGCCAGACAUUCCAUUCUCGAUAAGGUUUACACGAAUGCGCUCGUAAAAUCGCUGACCAGAACAAUUCUGUAUAACCCAAAACCGGAAAUUAAACAGAGCCAUGUUCGCCACUUGUCGUCAUCAGCAAAUCGUGAAUACGAUGCUAUGUCGAUCUAAGUAGCGCUCACCUGGUUAGAAUCGAGUUUUUGCAUAGAUGUGUAGGACCACCCCGCUGUAUAUCUGGGUGCGGCGACUAGGAGAACUUCUAUCAAAACAACGGACACACGAAAAGGCAUUAAAAGAACGUUCAGUUUUGGUCUGCUAUCGAUAUUACGUAUGAGAGUGUUUAUAAUCUGCUGUGAGAAGAGCGUCCAACCCAAAAGGGCUAGGCGAUCAGGCGGUUGGACUAAACAAACGGAGUAUUUUAAUCUAGUCAACUAGUGGGCGUAAACGGUUAGCUCCAUCUCAAGAGAUGCUUUUAGCAAAUCAGUUAGCCCGACCGACGGUGAAAAGCUGCCAGCAGCAUGUUCAGGCAGGGCUCUCGCUGCAACCAAAACAUUAUAAUUUCCAUCUUUCGGAACCAAUGAAUGAGUGAUCAUGAUAUAUAUCCCCAAGUGUCCGUGAAAAGAUGUAAACAUCCCCUUACUUUCCUUGUAAUGUAGUAUUCAAAAAGAAAAAUUGUCCGAACAAGUCGAAUACGAAAUAUUCAGGACUAGCUCUUGUGAACGACGUUAUUAUUUGAGCUUUUGGAACCUCAAAUUCAUCAGUUGGGUCUUCUCAAAAAUAGAGGUGCGCUCGGAUUUCACCUUGACAAAGAGUUUGUUCAUCCUGCCGUGCUAGAAAAAGAGCACUGUUUAAAUCGUCGAAAGCCUCUUGCCAGAGAACGCCAUUUUUAAACGAAAUUGGUUUCUUCGCCUUGGUUGGCUGUUGAAGCAUAGCUUUACUUGGAGCUACAUCGUACCGCCUUUCCUUCUUUGGCUCCAGCCUGGCUUCACACAGAAGUUACAGAUUUGGAACUGACCAAAACGAAGGCGAUGAAGCUUGGAAGGGGAAGCAGAAUAAUGGCCGCUAACACCCUGUACCUUGCCAGGUCGCCCUCUGUCUACGUUAACUGGAUUCCGUAUUUAGGGGUUGUCCUUCUCCGCAAAUAGCAGAAGUUCCAUUACGCACGUCGCCGAAAGAUGCUGGAAAACAGUGUUAGCCGCACGAUCAAUCUAGUCGUCUCGCCGCUUGUCCUACGCAGCCGCUCUCAAUUUGUCCAACUUCAACGUAGCUUCGACCAUUCGGAAGAUCAUUCGGAAGGA